CGCUGGCGGCAGGCCUAACACAUGCAAGUCGAGCGGUAGAGAGGUGCUUGCAUCUCUUGAGACCGGCGCACGGGUGCGUAACGCGUAUGCAAUCUACCUUUGCAGAGGGAUAGCCCAGAGAAAUUUGGAUUAAUACCUCAUAGUAUGUGAGGAUGGCAUCAUUUUCACAUUAAAGUCACAACGGCAAAAGAUGAGCAUGCGUCCCAUUAGCUAGUUGGUAAGGUAACGGCUUACCAAGGCUACGAUGGGUAGGGGGUCCUGAGAGGGAGAUCCCCCACACUGGUACUGAGACACGGACCAGACUCCUACGGGAGGCAGCAGUGAGGAAUAUUGGACAAUGGGCGCAAGCCUGAUCCAGCCAUGCCGCGUGCAGGAUGACGGUCCUAUGGAUUGUAAACUGCUUUGUACAGGAAGAAACACUACUUCGUGAAGUAGCUUGACGGUACUGUAAGAAUAAGGAUCGGCUAACUCCGUG
rnacentral:rRNA from 1 species